AAGACCUCUUCACAUACUGGGCGUUGAUGCAAUGGGUACGAAACAGAUAGGGCUUUACUGUUUACGCUUCUUAUGUGAGGCAGUCUUUAGGCAAAAAAUUCGGUAAAAGUAUACAUAAGGUCCGAGUGCCUGUUAAAAGAUAAAGUUUUCACAUUCUUACAUUCUUUGACAUCCUGAAUCCAAAAAUGAUACUUACAUGUACUGGAAACGUGGAAAAAACACCAAAUCACCAACCCAUUUCACUACAAUACCAUGGAUGAAGUAGUACCUGGAUCGGCAACUCCUCGAUGUUUGUGACCACCGCUAGGUGGCAGUGGUGUCGAGCGCUAAGGACGCGGGGGAGCGGGUGCUAUUCAAAACAAUGGUCGGCGUCGCGUCGUAGGAUCGUUUGCCUUGUUUUUUGAAAAGUUAAGCCCCUUUGGAGCAGAUUGGAAGGUUUCAGAAGAUGGAGGAAGAUGGCAAGAUCAAAGAGAUGGGUUCAGUUUCCACGGUGUGCUGACUUGAAUUGACAUCCUGUGAUUUGUGAUGUGAAUUAUGAUGCACGCACUCGCAGGUGCACGCCCACUGCGGACACGUGUGACGUGACGGCAGCAGGCGGCCGGGGUGUGAACUGUGAACUGGCUCGACCGAAAAUGUUUAAGGUAUCACAGCGUUUGUAACUGACUAACAUACCCACUACGGGCAUACCCAUUGAACGGAUAAUGCGUUCGUGUGCAUCGUGUUUGCAUUUAUUCCCGAUAUACUCUGGUGGUAGGUGUGAAUUGGAAACCAGCUUGGUGCUACGACACCGUUUAGUAGGCAUGUGGCACGUCGUUUCUCGAAACCUACCUAUCAGUCUAUGCAAUAAUAUGCAUUGUAUACAUUGUGUGUCAUCGUUCACCUUAGUUGUCAUUGAACCUGUGUUAAAUUCUGAACUUCAGGCCGAGACAGACUAUUUCCACAGUCAGGAAAU